UGCGCUUGAUCUUUGUUUGCAAAUUACCGGUCCCCGAUUAAUUUACAUAACCGAAGAGGUGAUACAGGAACCAAGAAACAUGUCGGACCUUGAAAGUUCUAAAAUGAAAAAAGUGACAGAUGUAGAUUACGAAAAGCUGACUGACGUUCAAAAAAUGUACAUGAAAAGAAUUGAGCGUUUUAACAAAGGUAGAGCCACAGAACAUAUUGUUCAGAGAACAUCCAAACGAAAAUAUGCAGGGUUCUUCUUUGCCACUGUAGUAGGAAUCUAUUUUUACACAAUAUUUGCUGUGAAACAAGAACGGCUUGGAGAGGAAUUUGAUCAGAGAUACACAGAACAAAAAGCACAGAGUGGAUAGUAUACAUCUGCAUGGUGCAAGGAUAGAUGAGGAACUUCGGAAAAAAAUAUAUAAGAUGUGAAAAAAAAAUGAUCUUAGGGUUGUAUCACAAUAGUAACAAAAUCCUGGAAAGUGACAUAUUCAUGAUCAUGGAUGUGUUUGUGUGAACAUGUAUUUAACAUACAGGAUGUUUACGAACAAUUACACAUUUGCAGCCCAGAGAUAGAGGUCAUCAACUAUGGACACUUAAAACAGAAAGAACUUCACUAGCUGUUUUGCCAACAUGGCGAUAAAUGUCUUCACUGAUUUAAAAAAAAAAUCCCUAGAAUAUAAUUAGUAGCAGGAAGUGCUUUUGACUUGUAUCUGUUUCAUUUUUGGCAUCUUAAAAUGUUCAUUUUCACAGUACAUGUAUAUAAGAGAACUUAUUGGGACUACUUUUUAUGCCCCAACACAUUGUGGGGGGGGGGGGCAUAUAGCGUUGCUGCUGACCGUAUGUCCCGAAAUCUUGUGUGUCCAACUCCUCCCACACUAUUUGCCUGAUUUACUUCAAACUUUCACAGAUGAACAACAUAGAUGUGUAGAUGACCAUAAAUGAAGGAAUUUUUCUGUGACUAUUUUUACUACAAUAAUGGUCCUUUGAUAGUUUUGCUAUAUAGAAUAUAUAUAUAGAGAGAGAGAGAGAGAGAGAGAGAGAGAGAGAGAGAGAGAGAGAGAAAUCUUGUGUGUCCAACUCCUCUCAAAUUAUUAGCCUGAUUUGCUUCAAACUUUCACAGAUGAACAAACUUGAUGUGCAGAUGACCGUAAAGGAAGGAAUUUUUUUGUAAUUAUUUAUACUGCAGUUAUGGCCCUUUGAUAGUUUUUGCUAUAUAGAGGAUGGCACAGUAUGUGGGGGCAUCUGUGUCCUAUGGACACAAUUCUAGUUUGUACUGCAAGACCACUUCUCAUUUAUAUAUAUUGUGCAUCUUGAACCAUAUUUGAACCGUUAUAUAUAUUGUUUUCAUUUUUUAAUUCAUGGAAAUACAUUUUAUAAAGAUGA